UACGAAGGGGGCGAGCGUUGUUCGGAAUUACUGGGCGUAAAGGGCGCGCAGGCGGCCUUAGAAGUCAGAUGUGAAAGCCCCGGGCUCAACCUGGGAAUGGCAUUUGAUACUCUGAGGCUGGAGUACGGGAGAGGAGAGUGGAAUUCCCAGUGUAGAGGUGAAAUUCGUAGAUAUUGGGAAGAACACCGGUGGCGAAGGCGGCUCUCUAGUACGGUACUGACGCUGAGACGCGAAAGCGUGGGGAGCGAACAGG
rnacentral:rRNA from 1 species